ensembl:lncRNA
CUCAUGGCUCACGCCCUGUGUCUGGUGGGCUAGCUCAAGGCCCCAGACUGGUGUCGUCCUGUCCCUAUUUAGAGGUUCUCAUGGGAGGAGUCAAGGUGCCAUGUUUGAUUGACACCGGCUCUAUGGUUUCUACUGUUACAGAAAGCUUCUUUCAAAAACAUUUUGAACCUUGGGGUCAGGAGCGGCUCAAAGCCUGUAGCUGGUUACAGCUAAGGGCAGCUAAUGGGUUGAGCAUCCCGUACCUGGGUUAUUUGGAGCUCGAUGUUGAGUUGUGCGGUAAACUAGUUUCACUGUGUGGUAUCUUGGUGGUAAAAGACCCCCCUGGUAAUGCUUCUCUUCAGGCCCCUGGUGUGUUGGGAAUGAACGUGAUCCAGAAAUGUUAUCAAGAGCUCUUUGUGCAGCACGGUUUGUCCCUGUUUAAUCUGCCCUCUGUCACGCAGGCCCCACAACCUGUCACGCAGGCAUUACAGGAGUACCAUCAGGUGACCACGCAGACCUCCCAGGAGCUGUCUGGGAAGGCAAAGGUGCUGAGGGCCUCACUGGUGAUCCUGUUUGGUGAUGGUGUCCCUUCGUGUGUAGUGUCUUAUUCACUCCCCUCCUUUGCUUUGCCCUUGUGUGUUUGGAGUGUUAAUUUUGGAUUGUGGUGCUCCCAUUUUAAGUUUAUACUUUCACCCCUCACUCACCUUGAGCACAAAUGCCCCAGCCCUGGAAUACAUGAUAAUUUAUACAAAUAGGAUAACUUUUUAGAUUUGAAUUGUGCCCAAUAAACUGUUGUAUAUGCUUUUGGAAACACGUCUCUCGCCUGCUCAGUGUAACGAACUUGUGUUGUCCUUUUGUUUAGAUUUAGUAAUUUACCUUAUUCAUAGAUUUCUUUCUUUUCCCUGGGUGAUUUCUCCCAGGGUGGCGUUGCUGGUUUCCUUUAGUUUCUUUCUUUUUC